UACGGGGGGGCAAGCGUUGUUCGGAAUUACUGGGCGUAAAGGGCUCGUAGGCGGCCAACUAAGUCAGACGUGAAAUCCCUCGGCUUAACCGGGGAACUGCGUCUGAUACUGGAUGGCUUGAGGUUGGGAGAGGGAUGCGGAAUUCCAGGUGUAGCGGUGAAAUGCGUAGAUAUCUGGAGGAACACCGGUGGCGAAGGCGGCAUCCUGGACCAAUUCUGACGCUGAGUGAGCGAAAGCCAGGGGAGCAAACGGGG
rnacentral:rRNA from 1 species